AACGAACGCUGGCGGCAGGCUUAACACAUGCAAGUCGAACGCCCCGCAAGGGGAGUGGCAGACGGGUGAGUAACGCGUGGGAAUCUACCGUACCCUACGGAAUAACGCAUGGAAACGUGUGCUAAUACCGUAUACGCCCUUAGGGGGAAAGAUUUAUCGGGGUAUGAUGAGCCCGCGUUGGAUUAGCUAGUUGGUGGGGUAAAGGCCUACCAAGGCGACGAUCCAUAGCUGGUCUGAGGUGCAGAUCAGCCACAUUGGGACUGAGACACGGCCCCCCCUCCUACGGGAGGCAGCAGUGGGUUCUCUUCGCCAAUGGGCGCAAGCCUGAUCCAGCCAUGCCGCGUGCUUCCUUCCUUUCUUAGGUUUGUCCCUCUCUUUCCCCUCUGAAGAUAAUGACGGUAGUCGGAGACGACGCCCCGGCUAACUUCGUGCCAGCCGCCGCAGUAAUCC
rnacentral:rRNA from 1 species